UAAGGUAGCGAAAUUCCUUGUCGGGUAAGUUCCGACCUGCACGAAUGGCGUAAUGAUGGCCAGGCUGUCUCCACCCGAGACUCAGUGAAAUUGAACUCGCUGUGAAGAUGCAGUGUACCCGCGGCAAGACGGAAAGACCCCGUGAACCUUUACUAUAGCUUGACACUGAACAUUGAGCCUUGAUGUGUAGGAUAGGUGGGAGGCUUUGAAGUGUGGACGCCAGUCUGCAUGGAGCCAACCUUGAAAUACCACCCUUUAAUGUUUGAUGUUCUAACGUAGACCCGUGAUCCGGGUUGCGGACAGUGUCUGGUGGGUAGUUUGACUGGGGCGGUCUCCUCCCAAAGAGUAACGGAGGAGCACGAAGGUUAGCUAAUCCUGGUCGGACAUCAGGAGGUUAGUGCAAUGGCAUAAGCUAGCUUGACUGCGAGCGUGACGGCGCGAGCAGGUGCGAAAGCAGGUCAUAGUGAUCCGGUGGUUCUGAAUGGAAGGGCCAUCGCUCAACGGAUAAAAGGUACUCCGGGGAUAACAGGCUGAUACCGCCCAAGAGUUCAUAUCGACGGCGGUGUUUGGCACCUCGAUGUCGGCUCAUCACAUCCUGGGGCUGAAGUAGGUCCCAAGGGUAUGGCUGUUCGCCAUUUAAAGUGGUACGCGAGCUGGGUUUAGAACGUCGUGAGACAGUUCGGUCCCUAUCUGCCGUGGGCGCUGGAGAAUUGAGGGGGGCUGCUCCUAGUACGAGAGGACCGGAGUGGACGCAUCACUGGUGUUCGGGUUGUCAUGCCAAUGGCAUUGCCCGGUAGCUACAUGCGGAAGAGAUAAGUGCUGAAAGCAUCUAAGCACGAAACUUGCCCCGAGAUGAGUUCUCCCUGACUCUUUAAGAGUCCUGAAGGAACGUUGAAGACGACGACGUUGAUAGGCUGGGUGUGUAAGUGCAGCGAUGCAUUGAGCUAACCAGUACUAAUGAACCGUGAGGCUUAACCUUACAACGCCGAAG
rnacentral:rRNA from 1 species